rnacentral:rRNA from 1 species
UUUUAUAGGGGAAUAAAGUGGAGGACGUGUCCUUUUUUGUAUGUACCCUAUGAAUAAGCAUCGGCUAACUCCGUGCCAGCAGCCGCGGUAAUACGGAGGAUGCGAGCGUUAUCCGGAUUUAUUGGGUUUAAAGGGUGCGUAGGUGGUGAUUUAAGUCAGCGGUGAAAGUUUGUGGCUCAACCAUAAAAUUGCCGUUGAAACUGGGUUACUUGAGUGUGUUUGAGGUAGGCGGAAUGCGUGGUGUAGCGGUGAAAUGCAUAGAUAUCACGCAGAACUCCGAUUGCGAAGGCAGCUUACUAAACCAUAACUGACACUGAAGCACGAAAGCGUGGGGAUCAAACAGGAUUAGAUACCCUGGUAGUCCACGCAGUAAACGAUGAUUACUAGGAGUUUGCGAUACAAUGUAAGCUCUACAGCGAAAGCGUUAAGUAAUCCACCUGGGGAGUACGCCGGCAACGGUGCAACUCAAAGGAAUUGACGGA